UAUCUGCGGAGGAAGGAGUGCCGUAUGGCAGCUCUCCAUCUGUCAGCCCCUUUGAUUAUUAUUUUCCCAUCAAUCAGUUGACAUUCAAAUUGAUUCAUUGAUGCUGCAGCAGCUGAUUUGAUUGACGCCAGGAACAGAUGGCGAACAAAUCCUUUGCCAGGCGGGGAUUCCCCGCUCCGCUGAGCUUUAUAAAUAGCUCCGAGCUUCGGUCUGAAGCAAAUGCCGGAGCACAACAACCCAGCAAUCGAACAACCCAACAAUCCGGCAGAUUGAGAUAGUUGCCGUAGAUAGAUAGAUAGACAGAUAGAGACAGUUCGAUUUGACAUUGAGCUAAGGACGUGAUAGCUUAUUCGACUGCCACUGCCAGCAGUUGUGCACAAUGCAUUUGUGCAAUUGUAAUUUCGCAUUGAUAAGCUAGUAAAUCCAUGUAUAGUGUUUUCCUAGCAUCGAUGCUGGUUCUGUGGACGUGACUCCCAGUUAACCCCGUGCCGGAAAACGUGGCCAGGUCCGAAGGCAGUACGGAUUGUGUCCCGCAUUCCAUCAGCCGAGAUAGGGUCCGAUUAACGUGAACAAACGACUGCAACUAACUUACUAUCAUUGCGCUAUCUGCAAUCUGAACCAACCGGCAAUCGACAUUAACAAAUGGAAUGAAUUCUAUGGAAAUUUAUCUCACAGGGCAACGGAUUUGUCGCUCUUUGCCGCCAUGUGAUUUUUUAUUAUCAUUAUUAUUAUUAUCGUUAUUGUUGUAUUUAUAGAUUGCCGGUUGCAAUGCCAGUUGCCGUUUCCGUGCUUCAUUAUUAUUAUACCCAUUUGAAUGGGUAAACAAAUCACCGACAACUAACUAGAAAUCCA